rnacentral:rRNA from 1 species
GACGAACGCUGGCGGCGUGCUUAACACAUGCAAGUCGAACGGAAAGGCCCUGCUUUUGUGGGGUGCUCGAGUGGCGAACGGGUGAGUAACACGUGAGUAACCUGCCCUUGACUUUGGGAUAACUUCAGGAAACUGGGGCUAAUACCGGAACGGAGCUCCUGCUGCAUGGUGGGGGUUGGAAAGUUUCGGCGGUUGGGGAUGGACUCGCGGCUUAUCACCUUGUUGGUGGGGUAGUGGCUUACCAAGGCUUUGACGGAUAGCCGGCCUGAGAGGGUGACCGGCCACAGUAGGACUGAGAUAAGGCCCAGACUCCUACGGGAGGCAGCAGUGGGGAAUAUUGCACAAUGGGCGGAAGCCUGAUGCAGCAACGCCGCGUGCGGGAUGACGGCCUUCGGGUUGUAAACCGCUUUCGCCUGUGACGAAGCGUGAGGUACGGUAAUGGGUAAAGAAGCACCGGCUAACUACGUG